rnacentral:rRNA from 1 species
GACAGGUGCUGCAUGGCUGUCGUCAGCUCGUGCCGUGAGGUGUGGGUAAGUCCCGCAACGAGCGCAACCCUAUUGCCAGUUGCUACCAGGUAAUGCUGGGCACUCUGGUGAGACUGCCCCGGUUAACGGGGAGGAAGGUGGGGACGACGUCAAGUCAUCAUGGCCCUUACGCCUAGGGCUACACACGUACUACAAUGGCGCAUACAAAGGGCAGCGAUACCGCGAGGUGGAGCCAAUCCCAAAAAGUGCGUCCCAGUCCGGAUUGCAGUCUGCAACUCGACUGCAUGAAGUUGGAAUCGCUAGUAAUUCGAGAUCAGCAUGCUCGGGUGAAUGCGUUCCCGGGCCUU